rnacentral:lncRNA from 1 species
GUCCAACUUCCAUAUAACUAUGAAAACAACAUGUUUGCUAUUUAUAAGGAAUUCCCUUGGGGAAACCAGCUUUAAAAAGGAGGAUAGAUUGUUGUGAGGAAAACUGGAUGUGAGUGGAUGGGGCCUCUUUAAAGGGGACAGUUUUCCAGUUUUGAAGAGACCUGUUGGGAUAAACACAUUCAAGAUAAUAGCGCUGGGACAGGACAAAAGCCACUUCAUUGUAAAAAUGCCUUCAACCUGAAACAUUCUGAUGGACCUGUGCACGAACAAUGGACACACACUGCCUAAUGUGGGAUGGAAGAGUAGCUGGUGGACCGCGGCAUUCUCUGGAUUCAUGGGAAAAUAUAAAAACACAUAAGAAGGCUGAGUGCCGAAGAACUGAUGCUUUCGAACUGUGGUGUUGGAUAAAACUCUUGAGAGUCCCUUGGACAGCAAGGAGACCAAACCAGUCCAUCUUAAAGGAAAUCAACCCCAAAUAUUCACUGGAAGGACUGAUGCUGAAGCUCCAAUACUUUGGCCAUCUGAUGUGAAAAGCCAACUCAUUGGAAAAGACCCUGACUCUGGAAACAUUGAGGGCAAGAAGAGAAGGGGUGACAGAAAAUGAGACGGUUGGAUGGCAUCACUGACUUAAUGGACAUAGUUUGAGCAAACUCUGGGAGAUAGUAAAGGACAGGGAAGCCUGACGUGCUGCAGUCCAUGGGGUCGCAAAGAUUAGGACAUGACUUAGCAACUGAGCUACUGUAAAACAACAAGAUAUGACACAACAAAGAAUGUAAAGAAAAAAAUUAAGGCUCUCAAAUAAAGAUAAAAUCAAGCAAUAAUAUGGGUAGUGG